rnacentral:misc_RNA from 1 species
GCGAGUGAAAACUCCAAAACCCACUGUGAACAUACCUUUUUCAGUUGCUUCGGCGGGCGGCUCCGGGGGAGCCUCCAGGCCUUUUUAGGUGCCCGCCGACAGUACCCUAAACUCAUUAUUCUCUUAGCGAGCUUCGGCUUCUGAGUGGACAAAACAAACAAGUAA